rnacentral:lncRNA from 12 species
AUGGAACAGCGCUGCAUAUUGAUUAUAGCUACUUACAUGGUGUUCAGUCCAAAAGAGUGCCAGAAAAUCCAGGAACAUAGCUGGUUGCUUUUUGUCUUGAAAGGCCAAACAAAAAGCAAAGGAGUAGAAAAAGUAGAGGCUGAGAUGAUGCAGUCAGCAUUUUGGAGAGAGGGCACUGCCAAGGAAUAUAUAUAUUGCAUGUCCCUAGAGAGGACCAGGGAAGCAUGUGCACUGCAAUGGCUGGUAUCUCAAAGGAAGAGAUGGUGGCUUGGGAACCCAUAUCAUGGCUUAAAGGAAUUGAGGAUCACCCUAGAUCUAACCGUUGUCAAAGAACACCUCAUGCAAAAAGCUUGAAGAUCUUUUUUUUUUUUUUUUUUUUUUUAGCUUCUAACCCAAACAAGUUUAGGAGAAAAAGACUAUCCCUGAGCUUCUUUGCAGCUUGGCACCAUCUCGUUCUGACACCUGAGGGAUUACUUUGUUUCCACAUCAAUAUCAGCUUGUCUGUGAAAACUCUUGCUCUAAUUUCCAGUUAUAUUUACUUUAUGUGCUAUAGAUUUUAGUUCAUCUUCUUACUUGGUAUUAAUUACUUGAUCAAUUAAUGAUCAUUUAUUAACCAUAUAGAAGGAAACCAUCCUGAACCAGAUGCUCAUAAAGGUGAAAACCACGAGUCUAAUAUUUUAGUGAUGUCUGGUAAGAAAGCCCUGAGACAUUGAACACUCCCUUUGAUGAGACACCCAACCAACCAGGUCCCUGUACACAGAAGAAGGCAAAGAACUUGAAUCUUUCAUGUUAACAAUGGCUUCUGUUGCUAAACAACACUGUACAUCCUACCAAGUUGAGUACAACUCCAUGGAGUAUGAUCUCAAGCAGUUACCCUGAAUGAAUGAGAACAGUACACGAGUGCUUAUCUGUCCACAACCACCCCAGGGCCCAGCCUUAUCACCCCU